GUCAGGAUGGCCGAGCGGUCUAAGGCGCCAGACUCAAGGAUUCCUUGCCUGUAACUCAGGUCGUGUGAGCGUUCUGGUCCUCUUUGAGGGCGUGGGUUCGAAUCCCACUUCUGACA